ensembl:rRNA 5S_rRNA 5S ribosomal RNA
GCCAGCAGUCAUGUCACCCUGCAACUCACAACUGGCAACCCACUGAAGCUAAGCAGGUGUGAGCCUGGUCAGUACCUGGAUGGGAGACCUCCUGGGAAAAAUUAAGAUUGCUGCUGGAA